rnacentral:rRNA from 1 species
CAGGAUUCCCUAGUACUGCGAGUGAAGCGGGAAAGCUCAAAUUUAAAAUCUGGCAGUCUUUGGCUGUCCGAGUUGUAAUCUAGAGAAGUGUUACCCGCGCUGGACCGUGUUUAAGUCUCCUGGAAUGGAGCGUCAUAGAGGGUGAGAAUCCCGUCUUUGACACGGACUACCAGGACUUUGUGGUAUGCUCUCAAAGAGUCGAGUUGUUUGGGAAUGCAGCUCUAAAUGGGUGGUAAAUUCCAUCUAAAGCUAAAUAUUGGCGAGAGACCGAUAGCGAACAAGUACCGUGAGGGAAAGAUGAAAAGAACUUUGGAAAGAGAGUUAAACAGUACGUGAAAUUGUUGAAAGGGAAACGCUUGAAGUCAGUCGCGUUGGCUGGGGAUCAACCUUGCUCUUUUGCUUGGUGUACUUCCUAGUUCAAUGGGUCAGCAUCAAUUUUGACUGGUGGAUAAAGUUCAAGGGAAUGUGGCAUCUUCGGGUGUGUUAUAGCCUUUAUUCGCAUACAUCAGUUGGGAUUGAGGAACUCAGCACGCCACAAGGCCGGGUCUUUUGACCACGUACGUGCUUAGGAUGCUGGCAUAAUGGCUUUAAUCGACCCGUCUUGAAACACGGACCAAGGAGUCUAACAUGCCUGCGAGUGUUUGGGUGGAAAACCCGGACGCGCAAUGAAAGUGAAAGUUGAGAUCCCUGUCAUGGGGAGCACCGACGCCCAGACCAGACCUUUUGUGACGGAUCUGCGGUAGAGCAUGUAUGUUGGGACCCGAAAGAUGGUGAACUAUGCCUGAAUAGGGUGAAGCCAGAGGAAACUCUGGUGGAGGCUCGUAGCGAUUCUGACGUGCAAAUCGAUCGUCGAAUUUGGGUAUAGGGGCCAAAAGACUAAUCGAACC